CAGGCGUUGGCAAAGAGGAGAGCUUCCCUCAACUUCUUUUCAUCCUGUAAUGGAAAUUCAAAGUUUCUUAAGCAUGCAUUACAGAAUAUUAUAGUUUUCGAAGAAUGCAUAAUCACAAACAAUGAAUAUUUUAUGCAACUUUUGAAUAAGAGACAGAACAUCUGGUUUGGCCUAGCAAGAGUGAGGGAGGGGGAGUUCUUUUAUGUUACUCAUCCUGGCAAGAGUCUCAAGCAUAUGACUAUUUACUGCCUUUUUCCCUCUCUGACUUGGAAUGUCUCAAGCACUUUUAAGCAGCUUCAGAUCAAAAUAAUCCCAAUUUGAAUUAAUGAGAAACUUUUAAAGGAUACAAAUGGAUGGCGAAUGGACACAUGGAAUUGGACUAAUAUAGGACAUAAAAGGUAUCAAAUCCAUUUGAAACAUGAAGAUUGGAUUUGGCAAAAGUAUUCAAUUCUCCGAGCAAGCAGAUCAAUGAACCCUUUUAACAUAGUUUUUUUCCCCUUUUACCUCAGACAUGUUCUAAAUCAUGCUCCAGGCUAAUAUGUAAAAAUCAUAUUUUAUACAAGUAAUUAUCAAAAGAAGCAGGACUAUUGCCUGCUUCAAUAUGAACAAUACCAA